GUCAGAUGGUUUAAGUGUAAGAUUUGUUUGAAAAUUGUGAUUUUUUUAUUCAUAGAAUUUAUUGUAAUUUCCUGAUUUACAUUUUUAGGAAGAUGAGCCAUAAAUUAGAAGAUGGUGGUGUCUUCUCUUACUUCGCAAAGCCAGCAUGAAAAGCCAAAGCAGCAGUCUUCAAUUUCCACACAAGAAGAAGGACAUUCUGUGUACCACUGUGCCCAGUAGUAUGGAAAGUGUGGUUCUCACAAAGGCACCUGUCAGAAAUCAACCAAUCUAGAAUGGAGUGAUUGUUUUCUUCAGGUCUUCAUUGAUCCAAAACAUCUUGACUGCUUGUGACUGGCUGGAUGCCAACAAAAACCAAGUUGUUGGGACAGUACUCCGGCCAAGAAUUCUGGUAAUGGGCAAGGAUGAAGUUACGUACACAACUGAAAAAUUAGAAAAAAGGGGAGACGAUGAAGAUACUGAAGACGUCAUGUCCACCUUUGUUAUUUACUUUUAACUGCAUGAAGGACAUGAAAUUUUUUCUUGAUGAGAUACGGGGUAAAAAAAA